CCUACGGGAGGCAGCAGUGGGGAAUAUUGCGCAAUGGGGGAAACCCUGACGCAGCGACGCCGCGUGAGCGAAGAAGGCCUUAGGGUUGUAAAGCUCUGUUUUCAGGAAAGAAUGUCGUGGGUAAUAAUACGACCUGCGAAUGACGGUACCUGAAGAGGAAGCCCCGGCUAACUACGUGCCAGCAGCCGCGGUAAU
rnacentral:rRNA from 1 species